GAGGGCAGGCGGCGGGGCUGCAGGGGAGGGAGGGAGGGCGGGGGCCGGGGGCCGCGGAGCUGGGCGGGAGGCGGAGCGGCGGCGGCGGCGGCGGCGGCGGGAGGAGGGAGGCGGCGGGGGGGAGGGGGGGGGAGACUCUACGUGUGGAAUCGGAUCUCGGCUACAAAUUCAUCAUCACCAGAGAAAACUCCGCUCGGGCGGGGGCCUGGGGCGCCGGCGAGGGCGGGCGGCGGCGGGGGCGGCGGGCGGAGGCUCUGGGCCCCGGCGGCCUGGCGCAGGUCGGGGCUCUGUGGCCUCCCUCGGGCCGCCGCGCCGCGCCGGGGGCCUCGCCGCCGCCUCCCUGCCCCCUCCUCUCCCUGGGGCCGCCGCGGAUCGUUUCUCGCCGCCGCGGGGCUUGUUGUUGACUUUGAGGAAAACUCCUGACGUCAGGGGUUGGCGCUCGGCGACUGGCGGGAGCGGCUUCCCCGCGUCCGAGCCGGCCCGCUGCCUCUGCCCCCUCCCUCGGGCCCUCGUUCACGGGCUUCCCUGCGCCCCCAAGUCCGCGGCGGCCCGCGCCCCCUCUCCUCUCGCGAGAACACCCCCCAACCGGAGCGUGGAGCAGGGCGUCGUCCUGGGCGGGAAGUUAUGGGUUUUCCCCCGCGCCCUCGUGGCCCGUGGCAGGCACCCGAGGCCCGGGAGCGGAGGCUCGCUGCCCUCCUCCGCGCGAGGCCGGGCCUGGGGCUUCUUCUCCGGCCCGCCACGCCUCCGGGGAGGUCGGGUCGGGCUCGUGAGGGGCCGGGACCUGAGGCCCUCGAGGUGGGCGGUGCCAUGUGGAGACGCGACCCUGAGAGCUUGGAGCUGGGCCGGAACCGACCCCACCCCUCAACACCUCUGGGGUCAGUCCAAAGCCUGGCACGGUUGCUGACUCCCGGGAGACCUUACCGUCCAUUCCAAGAACACCUCUCGGAAGGCCAUCUCAGAGCUUCCUACAGGGCCAUCCUGAAUUUAGCAGACUCUGCCAAUUGUUGUAUGAUGGUACUCCACACAGAGUGUAUGCUGAUUUCUCCUCUUCAUUGUCAUCACAUUCCAAUAAUAUGGAGAGCAACAGGACAGGAAUGUCCCUCCUUGGAGAGAAAACCCUCAUUCUUUGCUAAGCCAGGCCAUUCUCUCCCUCUUGGUUCUGCCACAGAAGUAGUACAGCCGCUAAUUUCCCAGUGUCCACAGAAUACCCUCACUGAGGGAACUGACACAUUCCAAGCCCUUUACAAGAUCCCACGGAAGCCCAUGGAAGCCUUCUGGCAUGAGCUGAAGAAGCAUCUUCCAUCCCCUCCCAGUUGGAGAAGAGAAUUACUCAGCCUAAAACUGCAUGAGCUGCAUAGAGGAGUUUCCACAGCUGCCUUCUCCGCCCGAGGCAUCAGACACUGAGAGCAGUGGUUCUGAGUGUGGUCCCUGGACCAGCAGCCUUGGCAUCACCUAGAACUUGUCAGACACGAACAUUCUCAGGCCCCACCCCAGAACUGGUGACUAGGAAACCCCAGGGUGGGGUCCCAGCAAUCCGGGUGGUAACAAACCCUCCAGGGGAUUCUGAGGAGACCAGUGACUUGGAGGGUUUCCCUGGGGAUCUUCACCAGGGCAUCUCCAAGAAGUACCCUGGAGUAAUUAAGGAAGUGAUCAAGAACUCUCCAGGGUUCGGCAUUCCACGGGUGGCAGCGCAUUUCCUGAGGGACGGCACAGGGACCUCUGGCAUGCCUGCGGCGUGCCCCUGGCACCACAGGAAACCCCCACCCUCUGGGGGCUGCCAAGCCCCAAACAGCUGGCCUUGGCUCUCUGGGGCUUAUAAACGAGGCUGGCCGGUUCUCCCUCACCAUUGCAGGGCAAGACAUCGGCCAGCCGGGGCCCUGGUUGUCACCUUCCCUCCAUUUUCCAGUCCUCUUCCUGGAGGGGAGACUGCUCUGGCGAGAGUUUGUCCAGGCUGAAGCUGGGGGGACCGGGGCCUCGUAUUUGGAGGGGCAGUGAUCCUACCCCUGGGGAAGCUGCGGACUUGCUGAGGAGCAGGUGGAGAGCCAAAGAUGUUGAGCCAGAGGGAAGAACCCCAGCAGAUGCCAACCCAGAGGAGGAGGGCAGAAGCGAUGUCCCGGCAGCCUGCGCCACAAGGGGCAGAAAGCAGAGAGGGGCUCGUACACACCUGAGACCAGCGUCG
ensembl:lncRNA